UACGUAGGGGGCAAGCGUUGUCCGGAUUUAUUGGGCGUAAAGAGCGUGUAGGCGGCCAGACAGGUCCGUUGUGAAAACUCGAGGCUCAACCUCGAGACGUCGAUGGAAACCGUCUGGCUAGAGUCCGGAAGAGGAGAGUGGAAUUCCUGGUGUAGCGGUGAAAUGCGCAGAUAUCAGGAGGAACACCGGUGGCGAAGGCGGAUCUCUGGGCCUUACCUGACGCUGAGGCGCGAAAGCUAGGGGAGCAAACAGG
rnacentral:rRNA from 1 species